rnacentral:rRNA from 1 species
AGAGUUUGAUCAUGGCUCAGGAUGAACGCUGGCGGCGUGCCUAAUACAUGCAAGUCGUGCGAACCAUCUCGGUGGUGAGCGGCGAACGGGUGAGUAACACGUAGAUGAUCUGCCCAUCAGCCGGGGAUAACGUUUGGAAACGAACGCUAAUACCGGAUAGGAAGAAAUUUUAAAGGAGCUUUAGGGCUUCGCUGAUGGAU